rnacentral:rRNA from 1 species
GACGAACGCUGGCGGCGUGCUUAACACAUGCAAGUCGAACGGAAAGGCCCUGCUUUUGUGGGGUGCUCGAGUGGCGAACGGGUGAGUAACACGUGAGUAACCUACCCUUGACUUUGGGAUAACUUCAGGAAACUGGGGCUAAUACCGGAUAGGAGCUCCUGCUGCAUGGUGGGGGUUGGAAAGUUUCGGCGGUUGGGGAUGGACUCGCGGCUUAUCAGCUUGUUGGUGGGGUAGUGGCUUACCAAGGCUUUGACGGGUAGCCGGCCUGAGAGGGUGACCGGCCACAUUGGGACUGAGAUACGGCCCAGACUCCUACGGGAGGCAGCAGUGGGGAAUAUUGCACAAUGGGCGGAAGCCUGAUGCGGCAACGCCGCGUGCGGGAUGACGGCCUUCGGGUUGUAAACCGCUUUCGCCUGUGACGAAGCGUGAGUGACGGUAAUGGGUAAAGAAGCACCGGCUAACUACGUG